CAGCAGCCACGGUAAUACGUAGGGUGCAAGCGUUAAUCGGAAUUACUGGGCGUAAAGCGUGCGCAGGCGGUUAUAUAAGUCAGAUGUGAAAUCCCCGGGCUCAACCGGGGAACUGCAUUUGAGACUGUAUGGCUAGAGUGUGUCAGAAGGGGGUAGAAUUCCACGUGUAGCAGUGAAAUGCGUAGAUAUGUGGAGGAAUACCGAUGGCGAAGGCAGCCCCCUGGGAUAACACUGACGCUCAUGCACGAAAGCGUGGGGAGCAAACAGGAUUAGAUACCCCUGUAGUCCCUGUCUCUUAUAC
rnacentral:rRNA from 1 species